GCAGUCGAGGCCGAGUGUUUAAGGCGAUGGACUAGAAAUUCAUUGGGGUCUCCCCGCACAGGUUCGAAUGCUGUUGACUGUG
rnacentral:tRNA from 1 species